rnacentral:rRNA from 1 species
AACGAACGCUGGCGGCAUGCCUAACACAUGCAAGUCGAACGAUGCCUUCGGGCAUAGUGGCGCACGGGUGCGGAACGCGUGGGAAUCUGCCUUUCGGUUCGGAAUAACUCAGGGAAACUUGAGCUAAUACCGGAUAACGUCGCAAGACCAAAGAUUUAUCACCGAAAGAUGAGCCCGCGUAGGAUUAGCUAGUUGGUGAUGUAAAGGCUCACCAAGGCGACGAUCCUUAGCUGGUCUGAGAGGAUGAUCAGCCACGCUGGGACUGCGGCACGGCCCAGACUCCUACGGGGGGCAGCAGUGGGGAGUAUUGGGCACUGGACGAAAGCCUGAUCCCGCCGUGCCGCGUGAGUGAUGAAGGGGUUAGGAUUGUACAGCUGUUUUACCCGGGACGAUAAUGACGGUACCGGGAGAAUAAGCCCCGGCUAACUCCGUG